ensembl:rRNA 5S_rRNA 5S ribosomal RNA
GUUUACCAACCAACCAGCCUGAAUGCACCCAAUCUUGGAAGGUAAGCAGGUUGGGGCCUGGUUAGUACUUGGAUGAGAGUCCAAAGACGACUUUUGAGACUCAUAAAAA